rnacentral:rRNA from 1 species
UUCCGGUUGAUCCUGCCGGACCCGACUGCUAUUUGGGUGAGAAUAAGCCAUGCGAGUCGAAUGGGAUUCCUAAAUUUCCCAUGGCAAACUGCUCAGUAACACAUGAUCAACUUACCCUAUAGAGAAAAAUAACCUCGGGAAAGUAGCAUAGUGGCUGAAAUAUAAUUAUGUUACCCCGAGACUGAGGAUAAUAUUUCAUAAUUGAAUCGGCUUGGAAAAGUUUUUCAAUUAAAAGGAUAAAAAAAAUGGUUUUUAUUCGCUAUAGGAUAGGAUCGUGGACGAUUAUGGUUGUUGGUGAGGUAACGGCUCACCAAGCCGAUAAUCGAUAGGGGCCGUGAGAGCGGGAGCCCCGAGAUGGGUACUGAGACAACGACCCAGGCCUUACGAGGCGCAGCAGGCGCGGAAACUCCGCAAUACACGAAAGUGUGACGGGGUUACCCAAAGUGUUCAAUUUUGGACUGUGGUAGGUGAGUAAUGUUCCCUACUAGAAAGGAGAGGGCAAGGCUGGUGCCAGCCGCCGCGGUAAAACCAGCUCUUCAAGUGGUCGGGAUAAUUAUUGGGCUUAAAGUGUCCGUAGCCGGUUUAGUAAGUUCCUGGUAAAAUCGGGUAGCUUAACUAUCCGUAUGCUAGGAAUACUGCUAUACUAGAGGGCGGGAGAGGUCUGAGGUACUACAGGGGUAGGGGUGAAAUCUUAUAAUCCUUGUAGGACCACCAGUGGCGAAGGCGUCAGACUGGAACGCGCCUGACGGUGAGGGACGAAAGCCAGGGGAGCGAACCGGAUUAGAUACCCGGGUAGUCCUGGCCGUAAACGAUGCAUACUAGGUGAUGGUGCGGCCAUGAGCCGUAUCAGUGCCGUAGGGAAACCGUUAAGUGUGCCGCCUGGGAAGUACGGUCGCAAGGCUAAAACUUAAAGGAAUUGGCGGGGGGAGCACACAGGGGUGAAGCCUGCGUCAAUGGAGUCACGCGGA